UUCCUAAUGGAUCGACUAGUAAACUGUGAAAAACAUUCAUUUAAAAAGUAUGACCCUUUUCUACCAUGAUGACUACAUGGUCUUCAUGGCAACUUGAGUUAAUAUGAAACUUGCAUCCCUACAUCAGUGCUUGAUACCAUUCCCAAAAAUAUACUUAUCUUGACAGUCAGAUUAUGGGGCUCAAUCUGUUGCACUUUCUGGUGGGUACGAAGAUGAUGAAGAUCACGGUGAAUGGUUUCUCUAUACUGGAAGUGGUGGAAGAGACUUGAGUGGUAACAAGCGAACAAACAAGCUACAAUCGUUUGACCAGAAAUUUGAAAAGCUUAAUGAAGCUUUACGUGUCAACUGUCUCAAGGGUUAUCCUGUACGAGUUGUGAGGUCCCACAAGGAGAGUUCGUGUGUAUGCACCUGACAAAGGAGUACGAUACUACGGGGUCUACAGGAUUGAAAAGUGUUGGUGGAAACCUGGAAAACAAGUUCAAAUCUUGAUCAAAAGCUUCAUGCAUCUGUUUAUUUAACUUAUUUUUGUCACUUAUUUACAUUACAUUGACUUGUGUGCAUGGAUACAAAGAUUGUCGAUACCUAUCCGUGCUCUGUGAUAAUGAUCCUGCACCAUGGACCAAAUCUCUUGUUAUCUCAUUUUUACUUUGUUAUAAUAUCAUCCCCUUCUAUUUGGUCUUUAAUCAUGUUCGUGUUCACCAUGUUGUAUAUAUUGGCAGUGAUGAAUAAGGGGACCGUCCUAGGGCCUUGCCUGCCAUCAAAGAAUCAGAUAUGACUGAGAGAAAAGGAUCUCCAGCCUGCGAUUAUGAUGUGAGAAGCAUUUAGAAUCUCCAGUUGAUUCUUUCCUUUUUGUAAUGUAGCACAUUAAAAGGAUGUUAGGAAAAAUACUACAUUAUUUAUAUUGGAAUAGAAUUAUAAAAUAGUAAAUAACUUUUAUCAAACACUGUGUCGUGGCAAGCCACUGCCUUGAAAGAGAUUUCGGCUCGACUCCGGUGCAAAUUGCUGCAGCCGAUCGCUCCCCAAGGUUUCCACAAUUACUCUCAAGCACGUGCACUCGUGGUUAAGAGUUUGGAGGUUGGUCAAAACCAAUUGCCCAAAAAAUAUUCUAAGGAUAAGAAGAGGGAGGAAUUUUUUUUUCUCUUCUUUUUAUUUAUGUUGGUAGUGUGUUUUUAUGCUCACUGAAACUACAUCUUUAUAUAGGAGUUGCAAAUAGGAGUUUCAAAGAGAAGAAGUGAAUUCUUAAGAAACAUAUGUUAAAUCUUAA